AUUGAACGCUGGCGGCAGGCUUAACACAUGCAAGUCGAGCGGGGUGAUGGUGCUUGCACUAUCACUUAGCGGCGGACGGGUGAGUAUGCUUAGGAAUCUGCCUAUUAGUGGGGGACAACAUCUCGAAAGGGAUGCUAAUACCGCAUACGUCCUACGGGAGAAAGCAGGGGAUCACUUGUGACCUUGCGCUAAUAGAUGAGCCUAAGUCGGAUUAGCUAGUUGGUGGGGUAAAGGCCUACCAAGGCGACGAUCUGUAGCGGGUCUGAGAGGAUGAUCCGCCACACGGGGACUGGGGCACGGCCCAGACUCCUACGGGAGGCAGCAGUGGGGAAUAUUGGACAAUGGGGGGAACCCUGAUCCAGCCAUGCCGCGUGUGUGAAGAAGGCCUUAUGGUUGUAAAGCACUUAAAGCGGGGAGGAGGCUCUUUUGGUUAAUACCCAAGAUGAGUGGACGUUACUCGCAGAAUAAGCACCGGCUAACUCUGUGCCAGCCGCCGCAGUAA
rnacentral:rRNA from 1 species